rnacentral:snoRNA from 12 species
AUACUGUGAUGACUGCAUAGUUCAGCAGAUUGCAUGAAGAGAUUUAUCACUUGUCUGAUGUAUCU